CCUACAUCAAAUCAAAUAUCCUAUUGAUUAUAUUAAAUUGACUAUUUACCCUUUCACUAAAACACUACUAAUACAAUAUUCUGUACAAAAAUUGUAAACAUACGUUCUGUUAAAUAUUACCAUUAGUAAUAAGUGCUUUUUAUUAACCAAUUACAAGAAUUAUCUCUUCCCAACUCUAAUCAAAAUAGGUAGAAUUUAAGAAGUAGCAAUUAAUUAUACUGCAUUUUAGACCAAUUCAUCUAUACAAAAA
rnacentral:lncRNA from 1 species